AGGAUGUGCUAAUUGGAAUGAGUUAUAUUUUGGGAGCAUAACAGACAGUACCACUGACCCUGUACUCCCAGCUGAGCAGUAAAGAGCCUCAUUGAAGAUCCAGAACUUGAGACUUUAUUUUGAGUAACUGUUAGCUAAUGUAAACUCAAAAGUACAUUUAUGUCUUUACUUUUAGAAUUUGAUGCUCCACGUAAUCUA